CGGACGACGCUGGCGGCGUGCCUAACACAUGCAAGUCGAGCGGGGUUGAAGCGAGGGGUAACUCGAGUUUCUACCUAGCGGCGGACGGGUGAGUAACGCGUGGGCAACCUGCCUCAAGGACUGGGAUAACAGCUCGAAAGGGCUGCUAAUACCGGAUAAGCCUAUGGCCUCGCAUGGGGCCAUGAGCAAAGGGGAAACCCGCCUUGAGAUGGGCCCGCGUCCCAUCAGCUAGUUGGUGAGGUGAAGGCUCACCAAGGCGACGACGGGUAGCCGGCCUGAGAGGGUGACCGGCCACACUGGGACUGAGACACGGCCCAGACUCCUACGGGGGGCAGCAGUGGGGAAUCUUGCACAAUGGGCGAAAGCCUGAUGCAGCGACGCCGCGUGAGCGAAGAAGGCCUUCGGGUUGUAAAGCUCUUUUGUACGGGAAGAUAAUGACGGUACUGUACGAAUAAGUCCCGGCUAACUACGUG
rnacentral:rRNA from 1 species